rnacentral:pre_miRNA from 12 species
AGGCUAAGGACCUUCCUGCUCCCAGAGCUGUGGAGUGUGACAAUGGUGUUUGUGUCCAUCUAUCAAACGCCAUUAUCACACUAAAUAGUUCCUGGCAGACAAGGCAUCGGGUCAGGA